UACAGAGGUCUCAAGCGUUGUUCGGAUUCAUUGGGCGUAAAGGGUGCGUAGGCGGCUUAUUAAGUCAGUGGUGAAAUACUCCAGCUCAACUGGAGGGGUGCCAUUGAUACUGAUAGGCUUGAGUACAGAUGAGGUAGGCGGAAUUUAUGGUGUAGCGGUGAAAUGCAUAGAUACCAUAAAGAACACCUAUUGCGAAGGCAGCUUACUAAGCUGUAACUGACGCUGAGGCACGAAAGCGUGGGGAGCGAACAGG
rnacentral:rRNA from 1 species